rnacentral:rRNA from 1 species
GUAGGUGGCAAGCGUUGUCCGGAAUUAUUGGGCGUAACGCGCGCAGGCGGUUCUUUAAGUCUGAUGUGAAAGCCCACGGCUCAACCGUGGAGGGUCAUUGGAAACUGGAGAACUUGAGUACAGAAGAGGAAAGCGGAAUUCCACGUGUAGCGGUGAAAUGCGUAGAGAUGUGGAGGAACACCAGUGGCGAAGGCGGCUUUCUGGUCUGUAACUGACGCUGAGGCGCGAAAGCGUGGGGAGCAAACAGGGAUUAGAUACCCUGGUAGUCCACGCCGUAAACGACGAGUGCUAAGUGUUAGGGGGUUUCCCGCCCCCCUUAGUGCUGCAGCUAACGCAUUAAGCACUCCGCCUGGGGAGUACGGCCGCAAGGCUG